CGCAGCCCCGCGCUCGGCGCCGGCCGCGCCAUGGGGGAGGGGCGGGGCGGGCCGCGCGAGACCCGGGAAACAUGGCUGCUCGUCCUAUUUCGGCGUCGCGGCGUGGCCACCAGCCCCCGGAUCCGAGUUGGGAGAGGCUCCGAAGAGGCUCCCGCGCCGGCGGAAUUCAAUCAAUAAACCCCGAACCCACGGCCGCGCGUUUUAGGACUUUGAAGGCUCAACCAGCUCCGCUCGGUUCUCGAGCCCCCAGCACCCGCGGCGCACACUAACCUGAUCACGGUGGAGGCGGGACCUGAGGUUCGGCGGAUGAGCGGCAACAGCUGGAGCCAAUCGCUGCCGAGGGUGUCCGGGCAACAGCCAAUGGUGGCGGCGGCGGGGGGGGGAAGGGACCAAUGGGCGGGCUGCGAAGCCGGCCAGGGAGGCUCAGCCAUUUGGUUGUGGUGCCGGAGACGGACCCCUUUAGAUUUCGGGGCGGCUGAGGAUCGCGACGGCUGCUUGGUGGCUGAGCUAGGGGGGUGGGCAGAAUGGCGGGGGAAGGGAAGGUGACUGCGCCUGGAGGGCCGAGCCGCUCGGCCUCGCCAGCCCGCCGCCGCCUCAGCGUUUGGCCGGGGGCGGGGCCGCAGGUGCGUUACUCGAGGGGGAGGGGCGCGGUCGGAGGGGUCGGGGUCGGGGUCCUCGCCCGGCCGAGGGCUUCGCAGGGCCACCCCGGGCCUGCCCGCGUCGCUGGACCGGGUUGGCGAAAGAGGCGGGCGGUGCGAGGUCUGGGGGCCCCGGGGCUGCCCGGCGGACGAGCGGGCGGGCGGAUGAAAGGCCUGGAAAGAGGGGGAGGGGUCAAGAGUGCAGUGGGGGAGGGGCUGGUCAUUUUUCUGGGUCCGGCGGGCCGAGCUGGUAGAGCAUGGCUGCUGCCUUCCUCUUCCUCCGCGGGUACCCACCCCGGGGCUGCGGCUCAUGGCCCGCGCGCCCCUUCGCCUCGUCCUCGUCCAGCCGCGGCCAUCGCCGCCCCUCUAAUAAACAAGUAAAUGAAAGCAAGAUGCGUCCACCUUUGGAUGACUUUCCUCGCGGUCUUGACCCUCUCCACGGAGGGGCAUUUCAGUUUGCUGUCAUAUAAGGUCAGCCUGGAAGGAGCGAUCACCAGGAGGCACCCAGGAUCUUGUUCAGUCAAUAAAUGAAUGAAGACCAUGGAUUAAGGAUUGUUGCUGAAUAUACCGAAUAUUAAAAAGUGAAAAAGAAAGGUGCUAAUAACUCCUGGUGUUCUGGACCAAACAUAAUUUAUGGGCUUUGUAGACCUAGUGAAAGAAAACGGCGCACAGUUUAUUCUAAUCGUCCACCUGAAUCAUUUGGUUCAAUUUGAGUUGCCAGAGAGGCUCUAUUUGAAGGACUUUCUCCAGGUUUUACGGUUUGCUUGCUUUUUUGUUGUUGGUGGUGUUGGUGUUGGUUUUUUUUUUUCUUUUGAAUCACAUUAGUUGUAAGACCUAAAAGCCUUCACUUCCACUGGGUUACCCACUUCUUAUGGCCAGGCCUUGGACCUUGUCAUUUACUAAGUUGGCUGCCUGUGGCUAAUAAAUCGUGGGGAUUGUUGUCAACAAGGACAGAUACAUCUUUACCCUUCCACACAACUGUUUUUCAGUGCUUAUACUUAUACAGAUCUAUACUGGUCCUUAUACACUCCAAGGUGGUGUUUUGGGGGGAUACAGUGUGUUUACUUUUCAGGCACAUGGGUUCAAGGGAGAGAGAAACCAGUAUGUAUGUUGCAAAUUUGAAGUAUUAUUACAUAACAUCAAUACAGUUUCUUUCUUGAGCAUAUAAAGUUUAGAAGGAAAUAGAAGGUGACAGAAUAAAUAAAACGCACAUACAGAAUGCUCACACUGGGGAAGAAACUGUAGUAACUUUAUUGUAACCUGAUGGAUUGUAAGUAUAAAAUCCUACAGCUAAGCAUUUUACUCAGUGAAUUUUUCUUUCAGAUAAAACGAUCGGUGGAAUUUGAAAAGUGAUAAUGUUUAUUCUGAGUAACUGGGAAAGGCAAAAUAAAAAUGGAAAGUCAUUGUUUUAUUUCAUCUGGGUUUAAGUAGUAUAAUCUAUUUGACUUGACUUAGCUGACAUUUGUCUUCCUCAGUUUUGUUCAUCUUACUGAACUCAAUUUGUGUAGUUGGAAUUCAUUUAUUUUUAAAUUGUAUUGGCUUUGUUAAAGAACAUACAGGGACCCCAAAUUACCUCUUUUUGCCAGAGUCAGUUGUUAUUUCUGGAUAUAGUAUUUAAGUUUGUUUUGAAAUAGAGCUCUUCAUCACACACACAUUAAGUCAAUAUGAUGUAUAGAAGCUAUGUAACAACGGAGUACUGAAGUUUACAUUCUCUUUGAUGGUAAAUACUCGUCUUCAAUUUGAAUUUUUAACCACAAUUAAGUCCACACUGCUAGCAAUGUGAUACCGAACAGUGGCUUUCCAGGAGUAAUCCUUUAAAAGCCAGCCAAUCAAAUGCAGAGAUGUUCCUGAUCCAGCUCUGCUAAACAGAAGCAAGUAGCUCACCUUAUCAUACAAAGAUUGAAGAGGAUGACUUGAAAGCCCAAAGCCCCGUUAAAGAGAGUGUACAGGAACAAAUUAAAGUUGGAAUUGAAA